AAAGGAUGAAGACCCACCAUGACCCGAUGUCCCCAACAUCCUCAACUUCCUCAAUGUCUUCGAUGUCCCCAACGUCCCCAACCCAAAGGACCAAGACCCACCACAGCCCAACGAUGUCCUCGAUGUCCCCAACGUCCUCGAUGUCCCCAAUGUCCCCAAUGUCCCCAACGUCCCAAAUCCAAAGGACCAAGACCCAUCAUGGCCUGAUGUCCCCAACGUCCCCAACGUCCCCGAUGUCCCCAACUCAAAGGACGAAGACCCAUCGUGGCCUGAUGUC
rnacentral:lncRNA from 1 species